CCAAGACAGCAGGAAGUAGAAAACUAUAAAUCUGUGCGUAACUUCCGCGCUGCCUCUUAGUCCUGCAGGCAGAAACAUGGAGAGGAGGUGUCUGUUGAAGUUUCUGAUAACAAUCAAAUGCCGGCCUCCCUGUUGAACAAACCUGAUGGCUGAGUGUUAGGAUGGGAUGAAGCUGCCGUCCUCCUGCCCUGCCCGUGGGGCUGAAGGAGCUUUCUGCUGAGCUGACGGUCAUGCUGCAGACUGACUGAAGCUGCAUGUGGAGCCUCUGGCCUGCAGGGGGCAGUCCUCACCUUCAGGAAGCUCCGGCUGAGUGCAGUGUAAUCCUGCUGCUGUGGAUGAGCGGAUAUGCUGCCGACUGUCCACCUGCUGGGAGCUGAUCAAUCAUCAAUACGUCCGUCUGUUUAACUUCUCAAAGCUCAGGCUGCGUCUACACAUCUCCAGUACCUUUAAUCUACUUUAUUUCUUUAGGUACUUGUUAGGCCUGUACAACUUCAAGAACCUCAAACACGUUCAGACAUUCAGUUUACAGUAAUGGACCAAUUUAUUUUGAAGUUGAUCAGAUGUGAGAAUGUUUGGAAUUUGUUGAGAAAAUGAAUCCAAAAUGUAACAUUCAACAGGACAUGAACAGAAGUUUAACUGGGAUGUAAACACUGACCCUGAGUUGUCUAAACGUCUGAAUAAAAUGUUUUCUUCCUACACCUUAA